AGUUUGCCUGUAAAUUGUCCGCCUGCUGUGUUCUGUGCUGAGGGUAACCCACGGUGGCAGCGAAUCUUGCUACACCCUAUAAACGAUAAUGCCUAUCUCACCUAUAAACAGCUGGUUUUGAUUUUUUUUGCUUCCCAGUAUUGUGUUCCUCUUACCCUUAACUGUAUAUAAGAAAAGCUCCACAUUCAGAGCAACACUACAACAACCUCCUCGACCGUCUGCGAGACAAUCUGCUGAAGUUGUGAAGACUUGAAGGUGUGAUCACUGUAACCAUGCUGAAGGUAGUAUUUGUGCUUGGAUGCCUCCUGAGCUUCGCUCUGGCUCAUCCUACGGACAUGGAGCACAAACGACUUGCUCGGUCAAGGUCCGGCUCACAUUCCAAUGAGCGUAUAUACCGGCCACCUAUGGUGAAUUUCCCGUUUGCGCCGCCGGCGUGGCCACCUAUGGUGAAUAUCCCGUCUGCAACGACUAUCCCACCGUGGGUCCAGUCCUUACUUGCCCUCAUCCAACAAACUACAGCACCUAAGUAAAAUCUGGAAUAUAACCGGAGAUCAAUAAGUGAAUGAAAACCUGUAUUGGACGGCAUAGAAUUUUGACAACUGUUUCUUUCUCUUUUCAAAUUUAAAUGAUGAUGUCUUAUAGUAAGUUCAAUUAAACAUUUGGAUCAAAAUCACUUUAUUCUCUGUAGUAGCUGACAAUAAACUUCAUAAAUGAAAAACAUGGA